CGAAGUUUCCCUCAGGAUAGCUGGUGCAUAUACCGUUUCAUAAACUUAAUAAAUCUUAUCUGGUAAAGCGAAUGAUUAGAGGCAUUAGGUUCGAAACGUUCUUAACCUAUUCUCAAACUAUAAAUGGGUACGAUAUAUGAGUUUCUUGAUUGAACUCUUAUUUCACGCUUUUAGCGUACCAUAUCAAACAUUUAUUACAUGUUUGUAAUUUGGUUUAGAUUUAUUGUGCCCAGUGGGCCAAGUUUUGGUAAGCAGAACUGGUGCUGUGGGAUGAACCAAUCGUGAUGAUAAGGCGCCUAAAAUAAACGACACACCUUAGACCAUAAAAGAUGUUGAUUGCUGAAGACAGCAGGACGGUGGACAUGGAAGUUGUCAUCCGCUAAGGAGUGUGUAACAACUCACCUGCCGAAGCAAUUAGCUCUGAAAAUUGAUGGCGCUCUAGUCGUUUGCCGAUUCAUCACUGCUAAAGCAUAAUUAAUACUCACUAAGUACUGUGAUGUAUUUUGAAGUUUUAGUAAGUAGGAGGGUCUGAUGGUGUGCGUUGAAGUGCCAACCGUAAGGUGGUAUGGAGCCGCCAUUAGCACAGAUCUUGGUGGUAGUAGCAAAAUAUUCUAAUGAGAUCUCGGAUGACUGAAGUGGAGAAGGGUUUCAUGUCAACAGCAGUUGAACAUGAGUUAGUCGGUCCUAAGCUCUAAGGGAAACCUGAACAUAUGAGUAGAUACAGAAAUUUAAUUAUUGAUGUAAUCGAAAAUUAGUAUCACCCUCAUUUAUGAGCGAAAGGGAAUCCGGUUACAAUUCCGGAACCUGUUGAGUAUACGUUUGCAUUAUGUGACCGCUACAUUUAUGUAGGUUAUCCAUUAUGUAUCUCGGCAACGAGAAUCCAAUAUAAAGAAGCUAUCGGGAUGUAACAAAAGAGUUUUCUUUUCUGUUUUACAGUUGUACGCACCAUGGAAGUCUUUCAUAGAGAGAUAUGGUGUAAUAGGCUGGUAGAGCAUGGCAUUCAGUUGCUGUGUUGUUACAUCUCCUUAGACCUUGAAAAUUAUAUUGGGUCACGCAAACU
rnacentral:rRNA from 1 species